AGGAGCUCAAAAACAGAGCAGCUGAAAGAGAAGCUCGGGUAACAAACCACUGGGGGGACAAAGGAUUCCUCCUAAAUGAUGUAACUCUUCCAGGGUCCUGGAAUUCUGGGCCUGUCCUCGCCCCCCUACCUCCUCCAUAGACUCCACACGUCCUUCCCUCAUUGAGGCAUCUUUCUACACCCCCUUUGUCGGCCCUACCGGAAUUCUGUUGCCAUGGUUAAGGAGCUGCGCCAUAGGAACAGGAUUGGGUGACACACAUCUGCCCCUAGAAGCACCUGUUGACAUUCAGGAAAUAUCCAUCAAGAGUUAUCAAAACACACAGCCCACAAAGUCUGGGGACGGUCCAGGAUCUCACUCGAACUCAAUCCAACUCCCAACCCUGACUGGUCGCCACUGUUCCCAUCUUAGAGUCCAGAGCAAAGACAUUCAACUUUAUUGGCUUUCACUAGUUAUGUUAUAUAGUAUGGACAGAGUAUAGUCCGUAUGGAGCGACUACUGUAAGUUGCAUUGUGGGUUUAUGUAUACCUGUGCCUCAAAGUGCUGUCAUGCAUUCAACACUGAGACUGAUUAAGAACUGCAAUUGUUUCUUUCCAGGCAAUUUGGGUGGGAUUGAGGUUCUCUGGGAGCUUGGUUUACUUGACAGCGUUAUUAGGAGAAGCUAUAAUGUAGGUUCUGAUGUGUGUAAUACAAAUUUUAAUAACAGUGUGUUUAAUCUUAGAGGGAAUUCUGGCACACAGGGCAGCAGUUCCUGAGGCAGAAUGAAGAAGGACCUUGAUUCUGUAGUCCAGUUGAGUCAGUCCAAAGCCUUACCCUGCAGAUCUUUAACUGCAGAGGGCUAUAAAGUGUUAACAACCAUCUUUAUUUCACUCUGAAUACUAAAAGGCUGUCUUGAAAGCAUUUCAAUGAGGUUACUUAAUUUUGUAACCUGCUUUUUGAUGGAACUACCUCACCCAAAAUGGACUGACUUGGUGUAGUUUUUCAGGGUGAGGUCAGUCUUUAUGUUUUCAGCUAAUGGAAAACAUCAGCACCAUAUUCCUAUGGUAUAUUACAUCAUAUCAAUUUUAUCUGUUCAUGCAGCACAGUGUGUAACUUUAUAUGCUAGCUGGGCUGAUGGCCAGCUGCACAAAGCAGGGAGUCUGGAGUUUUGGUUGUAAGAUCUUUGCUCCCUUACCAGGGACUCUCAGCUUCCUUUGCAGCUGCUGUGAACAGUGUGUGUACGUGACUGCGUACACAUGUGUGUGUACAGUAUGAGUGAACAGUAUGUUGUUUACAUACUGGUGUAGGAUAAUUUUGUCAUGUAAGGUAUCAAUAAGGAUGCGAUCGGAUCACAAAAAGGGGUCUUGGGCUAUUCUUUACUAUGCAAACAAAACUUUGUAGAGACAGCACGAUGCCAUCUAAUCUGGAUCAAACUUCAAAACUUUUAAGAACAAAUGCUAUGAGAAAAACCAACUCGGGAGAGAAGGGAGGAGGAAACUUGGCGCAGUGAGAGAGCAUCUUGAGUACAGCUGGGGCAGGGUCACUUCCAGAGAGAGAGCGAGAGAGAUUGUGAAAGGUUAUUUCUGGGCCUGCCCUCCUGUCCCCUCCCCUAACACACAAUCAUGCAUCAUCCACACCCUUCACUAUCUCCAGUCAUCUAUCUCUGGCUGCCACAGCAGGGCCUAGUCGUACAGAUCCCAUUCCCAUCGAGGCCUUCCCCCAUUCAUGAUUUCAUGUCUUACACUGGCGGAUGGGAGACGGGAGGUGCUGGGAUUGUUCUAACCGCGGCUAUCACUAUUGAGCGGAUUGCUAGGGGAAAUAGCUCUGUCUGUCUGUGUCCUCGUUGUGCUGUAGGUAGGGUAAGCCAAGGCAGCUGCAGUGUUAAAGAUUAAGAGGUGAUCUGUGCGUAUUGGUAUUAACAUGACAUGUCAGCACAGUCCUCUCAUAGCUGAACACAGAAUGGAGAUAGAAUGAAAAGUCAUUGCAAUGGUAUAGCCUACUCUUUUCAUUAAAAACACAUGUUAGAUCAAAUAUUGUGGCCUAAUUUGCGAUGUGUUUACACUUAGUUCAGUAGGGAAUAAAUCACAAAAGGUAGAACAAAAAUUAAGGUUAUAGACUUGCGGUAACAACAAAUGUUGUAAAAAUUACAUUCAAUUGAUUAGCUUUGUUUACUGUCUUUUAAUUCCUUAGGAAAAUAACAGGUGUACACUUUGUACAGGUACAAAUGCCUCGUAUAUUGAAGUUCCUGGAAGAGAAAUUCUGGCCCAUUGUGUGAGAUGGUGUUGUAGUUUCAUUUUACUUUGGGGGGCCCUAGCAGCACCCAAUCAAAUCGCUGCCAGUACCAUCUCCCUGAUCUCCUCACUCAUCGCAAUAAUGAGGAGGGGGAGGGGCAGAGCAGGUGGUGCCCCAACAACCCAUCCACCACCCAGAGAGAGGAGCAGGAUACAAAAGCACAACUGCUCCAAUGUGUGUUUUCUAGGUAGACAAAGAAAGUAGUGCUGAUACAUGAUAUGCAACAGUAAGCCAUUACUAGAGUUCAUUUUCAGCGUGUCAUGGUUACCAUCGAUGAAUCCAGUUUUUCCAGAAGUGGGGGAGGGCAAGGGACAGGAGACUGUCUAAGAAAUGGAUACCACUAAAAUGACAUUUUAUUGUACUUCUAUUCUUUGACAAGGUUUAUUCAUCUUUGACAGUGUUUAGUCAAGGUGCAGUAUAUCAUACCUUCCGUUUACCAGAAAAUAGGCUAUAUUUGAGCCAUAUUGCCUUUUUGUUUUCUGCAGGCAGUUUAAUCCUUAUUUUCUACAUGUAGCUCAUCUAUAAUUGGUUGCUUGAGGCAAUCACAUAAUUUACUAUAAGCCAUAUAUUGUAAAAAGGAACAAAAGCCAGUACAUUCAUUCCUUUCCAUUUAUGCAUCUGUAUGGUACAGAAAUGUGUUCAGUUUAACAAUACCACAGUCCAUUGCCUAUGUGUUGAAAAUAGGUGAUCAGUACAAAAUAAAUAAGAUCAUUUGGUUCAAUUAGUUAUAACAAAAGAGAUCUGGACUUAAUUAAAAGUGAGCCGCUGAACACGUAUUAUUUUUCAGCAGACUGAAGCUUCCUUAGCCAUGAAGGACAAACGCAGAUACUUUUCUGUGGCUCGGGCAUUUCUCUUCCGAGGACAAGAUGCUUCAGCACCAACCAGAGAGUGCAGUGACCUCCAUCAGUGUGGGGUCGUUGGGGAAAACAUGAGCAUUUUUUCCAUGUUGACAUGUUUUUUAACAAGGCCCUAUUGGGCGACUAGUGCUUUCAGUGUACCUUACAUGUCCUUGACAUUAGACAAUGUGCUCUCUCCAUCUUGGAGUAAAAUGGCAGCCAGGCAGCUAAGAGGGAAAUUGAUUAAAUGCGGUCUUUGCACUGUAGCAGAAAUGAAGAAUGAUAGUACUUCUGGGGAAUACAGACUUUGCACAGAAAUGGGAUCAGCUCCCUGCUAAGAGCGCAGCCAAACUGAAAGAAAAACUGCUUGCAUCUUUAAAUGAUACUCCUGCGUCAAUAGCAGCUGUAUCAUCUGCAUGGGUCUUUUGUCUGGGUACAAAUACUGUGCCUUUGGACGGCUAGAUCAAACUGCAACUGUUCCCCAGUUGGAAAUCAAACUGCAGCAUAACCAACGAAUAACAGUCUUCUACUGAACUUGGAUUCAGAGAGUGCCAUGGGUUUGGUGCUCUUAGUUGUAAACCUUUUAGGGCUGUCCCCAACAACAACAACAAUUCUGGCUCUACUGAGAGUUGUCUUUCGACCAAUAUAUUGUUAAAAAUGUUAAAACAUGUAUUUUUCCCAUAUAAAGACACAAUAAAAUAUACUAUAUGCACUGA